rnacentral:tRNA from 1 species
GUCUCUGUGGCGCAAUUGGUCAGCGCGUUCGGCUGUUAACUUAAAGGUUGGUGGUUCAAGCCCACCCAGGGACG